AUCUGGUUGACGAGUCCCAAAUAUGGCGAAAUGCGCAUCUUGGAU
rfam:Trichobilharzia regenti genome assembly, scaffold: TRE_scaffold0000769